UACGUAGGGGGCAAGCGUUGUCCGGAAUCACUGGGCGUAAAGGGCGCGUAGGCGGGAUGGCAAGUCAGUCGUGAAAUCUCUCGGCUCAACCGAGAAACGUCGGCUGAUACUGCCGUUCUUGAGGGAUGCAGAGGAGACUGGAAUUCCCGGUGUAGCGGUGAAAUGUGUAGAGAUCGGGAGGAACACCGGUGGCGAAGGCGGGUCUCUGGGCAUUUCCUGACGCUGAGGCGCGAAAGCGUGGGGAGCAAACGGG
rnacentral:rRNA from 1 species